AGGCAUCUUCCAUGGAGGUUGUGAGCUUUGCUUGAGGAUUUAUGUUGUUGGUCUGCCCACUGUGGUUCGAUAUUACUCUGUAACUUCAGAUAUACCACCUAAAUAAGUAAUGAUUUGCAGCGAGUUUCUUCAAAAUUCUGUAAAGUUUAGAUAUAUCACCUAAAUAUCGUCAAUGCAAGUUUCAAAAUUCCAUUAGUUUCUAUAUAUCAUAAAGAAAAAUCGAUGAGUCACCAUCUGCUUUAUAUUCAUGUUCUCUGCAGCACAAGUAGCAAUGGGGCUGACUGAGUAUAUUCAUGUUCUCUGCAGCACAAGUAGCAAUUCCCAGCUGAGAGAACCCUCAUGUUAAAAAGUAUAAAAGCAGUUUUGAAGCAAUUCCCAGUGUCUUUAGAAGCAUUCAUGGUUAAAAAGCAACGACUACCUCCUCCGUUCGAGUUGAGCACUGGUCAUCGUCCAAGUUGAGCACUAGGUGUCGUCCAAGUUCAAAGAGGGUUGUAUGCAAGUACAGAAGUUUGUUUUAGUGAGAAAAUGCGGCGUUUUCACAAUAUUAUGUAUGAUUCAUUUGUUCAACCUUAGACUUGGCGAUAUUCAGUCUAUUUUUCUAUGAUGAAGGCACACAUGAAGUCAUGUGCAAUGGUUAUACCCCUAGUGUUUCAAAGAUUCGUAUUUUGUUUCUUCAAAUGUGUUGUGCGCGUGUUUGAUGAGGUAAAACAAAGUAAAAUAGUGAAAUGGCAUUAAAGACAUUUGGAAGUACAAAUGUAAAAAAUAAAUAAGUUCUGAUUCUUGGCAGGUAGGAAGUUUGGAGAAGAAAACAUAAGUUUUUAAAAGAAGGGAAUGGUGAAAAUGUAAGCCCGUUCAACUAAUAAACAUUCUUUUUAUGUUCCUGUGAUGUUCCAUAUUUUUGUGAACUGAUAGUUGAUGCUCUUUGUGGACUGAUAGCUGAUACUUUUUGUUAACCGAUAAACUGAAUAAAUGAGAUGGAUGUAUUAUCAGGCCGUGAAAAUGAUGUAAAAAAUAUGUGCAGUUCAGCGGAUGAGUAUUAUGUAUGUCCUUCUAAUCUGAAG
rnacentral:lncRNA from 1 species